GAAUCGCGCCAUUUGGACGGUGGCUUCUAUAUUCGUCUGUUUUCCACUAUAACUCAGUCAAAUUUGAACCAAUUGACACAACUUUUGGAAUGUGGUGAGAUAGGUAUAGUAUCUACCCGUGUACAACAUUUCAAGUCAAUUGGUUCAUAAUUGACUGAGUUAUAGUGGGAAACAGACGAAUAUAGAAGCCACCGCCCAAGUAGCGCGAUACCCUACAAUCAUUAAUGAAAGAGAAACUCAAUUAUUCAUAUUCGGUUACUUUUGCAGUUCUAGACGCUAGUCAAAACCAUGAGAUUAUGGAUCGCAUUUUAAAAAUAAUACUUUUAUGAAAAUAUAAAUAAAAAAUAGAAUACUAAAGAAUUUGCCCUUAUGAGAUAAAAAUUGAAAAUAGUACGAUCUAACAAUUUAAAGUUUGAUCAUUUACUUCUCUCCAGAAGUUUUUGUUCAAAGAUUUUUCCUGAAAGAUGCAGUGAUGCCUACAAUUUUUUUUUAUUGAUUCAGGAUUGAUUUUUUUUUCAGAAGAUCUCCCAGGAAGAUCUCGACAGGAGCACCUUCAGGGAAAAUUCCAGGAAUUCCUUUAGAAAUUAUUUCUGGAGGAUUCAGGGAUGCCUUCUAGAGAUACAUCAGAGAUUCAUCCAGAAGAACCUCAGGGUAUGAUAAAUUAUUCAGGGAUUCCUUUUGAAUUUCCUUCAGGCAUUCCUACAAAAGUUUCCUUAGGAACUAGUCCAGAAGUUUCCUCAGAGAUUCCUCCAGGACAUCCUUCACAAAUUCCUCUAGAACUCAAAAAAGGGGUUUCUCCUGACGUGCUGUAGGUAUCGCUCAAGGGAUGCCUUCAGGUGUUCAAUAGUCAUAAAUGCCUCCAGGAGAUCCAUCAAGAAUUUCGUAAGAAGUUUCUUCAGGAAUUCCUGCUCUUUAGAAAUUAAUCUAGGGGUUCUUUCAAGGAUUCUUCCAGGAAUUUCAGGGAUUCUUGAUUUCCCAUAGAAUUCCUUCGGAGAUUCCUCCUGGAAUUCCUUCGGUGAUUUUUCCGGGGAUUCCUCCUGAAAUUCGUUCGGGGACUUCACUUAGAAUUCUUUUGGGGAUUCCUCCUGAAGUUCCUUUGGGGAUUUCUCCUGGAAUUCCUUCGGAAACUUCUCCUGGACUUACUAUGGAGAUUCCUCUUGAAAAUUCUUCGAUUAUUCCGGUUGAAAAUAAUUCUGAGAUUCUUUCCAGAAUUCCUUCAGGGGUUCCGUCUGGGAUUCCUGCAGGGAUUUCUCCUGAAAUUCCUUCAGGAAAUCCUUCUGGAGUUCCGUCAGGUAUUCCUUCUGGACUUCCUUAAUAGAUUCCUCCUGGACCUCCUUAGGGGAUUCUUCCUGGAAUUCGUUCGAAGAUACCUCCUGGAAUAAAUUCGAAGACUCCUCCUUGAAUUCUUUUGGAGAUUCCUUGUGGAAUUCCUUCGGCGAUUUCUCAUAGAGUUUUUUUUUUGAGAAUUGCUCUUGAAAUUCCGUCGGGGGUUCCUCCUGAAAUUUAUACAGGAAUUCCCACCGGAAUUUCUUUAGAGAUUCCUCCUGGAUUUCUUUCGGAGUUUCCUCUUGGAGUUCUUUUGGUGAUUCCUCUUCGAAUAUCCUAAGAGAUUCCUCCUGGUAUUACUCAUGGAAUUCCUCCAGGAAUUUUUCAUGGAUUUCCUUCGGAAAUUCCUCCUAGAAUUCCUUCGAGGUUUCCUUCUGGAACUCUUUCAGUGAUUCCUCUUAGAAUUCCUUCGAGAAUUUCUUCUGGAAGUCUUUCGGGAUUCCUCUUGGAAUUCCUUCGGUGGCUCCUCCUAGAAUUUCCUGAGGAGUUUCUCUGGAACUCCUUCCGUGAUUCCUUCUUGAUAUUUUCGUUUAUUCCUCCUAGAAAUCCUUUGGGAAUUCUCCUCGAAUUCCCUUGGAAAUUCCCACAAGAAUUUUUUGAGGAUUCCUGCUGGAAUUGCUUAGUGGAUUAUAGCUGUAAUUCCUUUGGGUUUCGUGCUAGAGUUCUUUUGGGAUUUUUUUUUGAAUUCCUGCGGAGAUUUUUCCUAGAAUUAAUUCAGGGGGUUCCUCAUCGAAUUCCUAUGAGGAUUCCUCCUGGAUCUCCUUCGGGGAUUCCUCCUAAAAAUCCUUCGGGGUUUCCUCUUAAAAUUUAUCCAGAGGUUCCACAUGGAAUUACUUCGAGGAUUUCUCCUGGAAUUUCUUCGAAGAUUCAUUCUAAAUAUCCUUCCUGGACUUCCUUCGUGAAUUCCUCCUGAAAUUCUUUCGGUAUUCUCUUGAUAUUCCGUCGUGGAUUCCUCCUUUAAUUCCUUCAGGGUUUCCUCCUGGAAUUCCUUUGGUGAUUCCUAUUAGAAUUCCUUCGGAGAUUCCUCUUGAAAUUCCAUCAUCAGAAAUUGAAUUUCUUCGGUAUUUUUUCUUAGCAAAGCAUUCCUUCGAUAAAUUCCUCCUGGAAUUUAGGGAUUAUUCCUAAAGUUUCUUUGGGGAUUCCUUCUUAAAUUUCUUUGGAGAUUCCUCCUGGAUUUCCUAUGGGGAUUCGACUUGGAAUUCCUUCGGAACCUUUGAGGAUUCCGCUUGGAAUUCCUUCGGAGAUUCCUCCCGGAAUUCCUUGGGUACUUCGUUCUGGGAUUCCUGCAGGGAUUUUUCAUGCAAUUUCUCUUAGACUUCCUUCGAAGAUUCCUUCUGGAAUUUCUUCGAGGAUUCUUCCUGGAAUUCCCUCAAAGAUUCUUCCUAUAAUUUAUUAUGGGAUUCUUUCUGUACUUCCUUCGAAGAUUCCUCCUUAAAUUUCUUAGAGGAUUUCUCCUGAUAUUUCGUCGGGGGUCCCAUCUGGAAUUCCUUCGAGAUUUCUCUUGGAAUACCUUUGGUGAUUCCUCAACAAAUUUCUUCCGAGAUUUCUCCAGGAAUUUAUUCUGGGAUUUCUCCUGAUAUUCCGCCGGAGAUUUUUCUGGAAUUCGCUCUUGGAUUUUUUUGGUGAUUCCUUUUCUUCAGAGAGUCCUCCUGAAAAUUCUUCGGGAAUCCCUCACGGAAUUCCUUUGGAUUCCUCUUUGAAUUCCUUCUGGGAUUCUUCAUAGAAUUCCUUCAGGGAUUCCAGUUGGAAUUCCUUCGAGGAUUUCUAGUAGAAUGCUUUCAGCAAUUCCUCCUAAAAUGCUUUCAGGAAUUUCUCCUGUAUUUCCUUUAGAGAUUCCUCCUGGGUGUUUUUCGUUGAUUCCUCCUAGAAAUCCUUAGGGAGGAUUCCUUCUCGAAUCCCGAUGGGGAUUCCUCCUGGAAUUCCUUUGGGGAUCAUUUCCGUAAUUCCCUUCGUAUUGCUGCUUGAAUACAUUUGUGGAAUCCACCUGGAAUUGAUUUGGGAAUUCUUCAUGGAUUUCCUUCUGAAAUUCCAAUCAGGGAUUUUUUCAGAAGUUUCUGCAGGAGCAGGGAUCUCUCUAAGGGAGAUUCUUGCACCACCAGAAAUUCCUGCUGAAGUUCUUUCAGGGUUCCAUACAGCAUUUUCUGCAGAGAUUAGUCCAGAAUUUUCUUCAUGGAUUCCUCCAGGAGUUUCUUGGGGGCUUCUCCUAGAAUUUCUUCUGAGACUCCUCCCUGAAAUCAUACGGGGAUUCCUUAGAGUAAAUAGUGCGACCUUACUAUCGAAUUUGAUAGCUUCUGAAGGUGCUAAGAUAAUAAAACAAAAACUGUAGUAUUUUAUCGAUAUUGAUUGCCUUUUAUUUGCAAUGGAGUAAUGCAACAUGUAUUAAACUAAGGAUACAAGUCAUGUUAGAAUAGGUCCAAUUACUGGUCGCAGUGACGGACCCAAACAGAAAUAAUAAACAGGUAUGCAUUCAAACGUAAUAGUUUAUGUCAUCAAAAGUCAUGAAAAAGCUCAGACUACAAAUUCUAGAGUGUAAUGACAACUAUUCUUUGCUUUGCCAAUGUUGACAUUAUGGUCAAAUUUUGGCCACGCCGAUUCACGCCGCCGCCGCCGCCGCCGAAAGCUGCCACCGGCAUAACGCCGAUGACGCCGCCGCCGCCGGCCAUAAAUGGCCCUCACGCCGCCGCCGAGCAAAAUAUAAUCGGCGCACAGUCAUAUGCAAGCAGGCAUAUUUGAAACUUAUCAAUGAAAAAUUUCAUUUUUCUUACAUAAAAUGCUAUUACUUCACAUAACUAUUUAAAUACGUUACCAGUAAAAUUUUAAGUAAAACAAAUGGUUUUCUUAAGAUUGAAUCUACCCUUUUUCAUAUGCUGGAAAGCUUGGGGCAAAACAAUCACUUUGAAAUUUCACACCCUUGGCGUGCAUUUGUGCAUUUCAUGCGGGGAUGGCAGGGCUGGUAGCAAGUCACUUUGUAGGGACUUGGCCACUUUUUUUGGGCUGGUCAAUAAAAAGUCUCUUUUUUCAAGAUCAGGUCACUAAAGUCACUAUUUUCACCUAAAGAGUCACUUUUUCCAACUUUUUUGGAAAAUUGAAAAUAUACGAAUUGAAAAAUGUUCAAGUUUUUAUUUUCAGUGUUUAGUAUAUGCCUGUGAUAUCGUUAUUAACAUUGAUUUAUUGAAACAGAGCGAGACAGCGUUCGUACCCCCUGUUUGUGCCAGUAUCCCGUUCACUCAAACAGCUCGAACUGAUGUGCCUGCGGCUGUGGUUCAAGGAAACUAGUCGUAUCUCCCAUUAGCUCAUUAAAACGCAAGCAAAAAAGGGAUGACUAGUGUUCUUCAACCACAUUUAUGCACUCGAGCUCGAACAAAGUGCGAAUAUUUUUCUACGCGUCGAUGAGAGUGCAGGCCUAAUAGAGAGUCAGAGAGUCGCUAUUUAGUGACUUAGUCACUUUUUUAGGCCCCAAAAUAAAACUAACAACUUCUCUAAGAAUGUCUGUAACUGUUAUGAAAUUUUCACCAAAAACUCUUUAAGCAUGAGACAUUUCAAAUAAAUUAGGAAUUCUAUUGUUUUCUUCUUGUAAUGUUUCGGAAAUUGUUCAAGAGCGGGACGUAGAGAAAUAUAUCAGGAAUUUCAUCAAAAUUGCUUGAUAACUUUCUGUUAUUUGUUUCCACAAAUUCAUUUUUUUAAUUUUGAGAGGAUUCUUGAAAUUAUAUUUGAGAAAUUCUUACUCAACCAUCUUACUAAUACAUUUUGAGCCUUUAUCUAUCUAUGUAUUUCAAAAAGGUGUCCAAGAGUUUCAUAAAAAAUGUCGCCGUCGAUGCACUGUCACAAAGCAUGAAGAUUGUAAUAUUUUUAUUUUUCUUCACAGAGUUUUCUGUAGAAAUUUUAGCAAAUAUCACUUAAAAAUAUACUCUUUAAGGCGAAACUGAACAUAUUUUCUCAUUUUUUGGUUUUUGAUUUUUUAUUAACUGACGAAGCAAUAUUUUCAAAAUCGGUUCUCGUACACAUGUAGAGUAAGUAUCAAGGUAUCUCCUGAUCUUUUUUUUUUUUCCUGAUGGAAAAAGUUCUUCGUUUUUGCAGAAACCAUUUUAAGCAAAAUUUUGCAAAAAAAAAAGUGUUCUGCAAAAAUGGAAAACCACCACAAAAAAAAGAUACCUUGAUCCACUCUCUACAUGUGUACGAAUCCCGGUUUUGAAAGUGUUGCUUCGUUAUUCAAUAAAAAAAAUCAAAAACCAAAAAAAACGAGGAAAUACGUCCAGUUUUGUCUUUAUAAGUACUUCUAUAAGUACGAAGGAAAUACUUGAAAUUCUGUUCAUAGUAAAUUAUUCAGAAUCUUGUUCAAUAAACGUGCGUGUCUUCUCGAAUUCCUGAAAAAAAAAUGCCAAAAUUUCUUCAUUAACCUGAACAUUCGUCAAAAUUUUUCCUAAAAACUUUAUCAAGAUUUUUUUCAGAAAUUCCACCAAUGUUGCUUAAAGGGUUUCUAUCGGAAACAACUAAAGAAUCAUUGUUGCCAUACCCAUCUAGUUCUGCACAAUACAUGUUAGAAAAUUGUAGAUACAUGCAGCUUUGUAAAACUUGGAACAUGAAAGUUUCUCUUGAAAACUUUUAUUAUGCCGUACCCCAGGGUUUUUUGAAUUAAAUUCGUUCAACAAUGUUUGCUCACUAAUCAUAUUUUUGUUCCAAAAGUAACUAUUUAGCCACUUUAUUGCUAUCUGUAAGUCACUAUUUGGUCACUAUUUUCGAGAAUUUGGUCACUUGAAUAACUAUUUUGACCAUCAGUUCUCACUACCAGCCCUGGGAUGGAUCUUUUUAAACCGCAGCUUCUUCUGAAGCCGCCAGAAGGCACGACUUCCACUGAUGAUGUUCCAAUUUCAUUGUUGCCAGGCGUCAGUAAGGAUCCGAGGUAGACGAUUACCUCCAUCAGCUCGAAGGCAUUCCGUUCUAUCUUCACAUUACCGUGCCAUGCCCUAAUACCGUAACCUUAAGGAUAAGGAUGCUCUUCACUUCAAAGAGCCCUGGAAAAAUCAAUAAUCCAAGUUUCUUGAUUUUAAAAACGCUAUAUUAUUGCUUAUUGUGUGUAUUAUGUAUAAUAAAUAUAUUUAAUCCAAUUCCAAAUGUUUAAUCCAUUGUUAAAAUCAAAAUUGUAAAACAUAGCAUUGUUCCUAAUACCGUGUAUGUGACCCGUAUACAUUGGUGGUCCUUUGAAUCAUCACUACAUCAAUCAUACUAAGUUCAUACUUAAAAGAACCUGUGCGGCAAACGUUGCCUAGAGGUUUGUGCAAUUGAUUCAUAAAAUAAAAAGUAUCAAUAAUAUUUUCAGUUUGCAAGUUUUAGCCGAAACACGGUAUUUGGAACACAAAAGGAACCAUGCCCUAAUACCGUGUAUUGGUACUUUGCACUCAUAUUCUGUAAAUAUUUUUAAUUGCUUGUUUUGGUAAAUAUGUGCCAAAUUUAUCACGGCUAACUUAAGCAGGUUUAAUAUGCUAAUGAAUGAACUAGUUACUCAGUUAUAAAAAUAAUACACUUAGUAAAAUAUUUGAGUUUUUUGUCAAAUACACGGUAUUAGGAGGCACACGGUAUUAGGGCAUGGCACGGUACUACCAAAAUGGAUUGGGUCGUGUACGAUUCCGUUUAGUUCCUAUACCUAGUUCACCAGAAACCCUUACGCUGUUUUGCACACCGUCCAUCUCUGUGCGGUCGAUACUGUCGUAUGCAGACUUUAAGCCGCUGAACAGGUGAUGCGUCGGGACUUAGAAUUCACAGCAUUUCUGAAGCAUUUGCCAAACGGUGAAGAUCUAGUCCGCUGUCUACCGGCCAUAGAUGAAGCCGGCUUAAUUUCUUCCCACGAACUCAUUCGUUUCAGGUGACAGACGUGGAAGAUGAUCUGGGAUAGCACUUUGUAGCCAGCAUUCAAAAUAAGGAUUUUUCUGUCCGCGUCUUCGAUGUGGACGUAGAUUGUCGAGUUCAGGAACAGGAUCAGUAAUCUGUAAUCGAGAUUGGAGGUCCAUCUUCUUAUCGAUCGUUUUAUGUUCCGUCUUCAUUCUGAUUCGGCUUCGCUGCAUACCAGAAUCCAGCUGACCAAAAGUUUUCGCUGUGAACUACUAAUUUCCUCGUUCAUCCUAUCUCUCGAUUGGUGGGAGGCUUGACGAUUCACCUGAUCUUGAAGUGGAGUUCGAUGGCACUUUGUCUAUGCGACAAACCUGUAGAAAGUUAGCUUAAGACGUUUGCCUUUACUAGUGAUUAGAAAGUUCUUUCUUUCUAAAGAAUUUUCAAUUUGACUUUAUAGUUAGGUAUGUGUAUCAAGGAUUGCUGAAAUUCGUCUUCAACAAUUGAGUCUAAUACAUUUUAACUUACCCUUAUCUUUUUUUUUAAUCUUCAGGUUCCAUGCUUCAACCGACGGGUGGUCUGUUGCAACCUCAGCCGCUAAACGCCGUCAACAACAACUCGCUGCUCGGCAAUGGAACAGCAGGUUCCACUGCGACGAAACCCACUGCUAACGUCGGCACCACCUGGAAGAACGCCGGCAACGUCAACAUAGACCUGGACAAUCUGCUCGGUAACGCCAAGGGCAAAAAUGCCGGAAACGCACCCUCGAUGAACCAGAUGAAGAGCAUCCACUCGAGUCCGGUGCACCAGAUGCCAAUGCCGCCGAUGAUGCAACCCAACAACAAUCCCACAACUGCCUUUGGAGCAUUUCCAGUUACACCUCAACCCACCACCAGCACCAGCACCAUUCCAAGUGCGUUCAUGGGCCAGGGCUUCAUGAACAGCAGCAGCAAUAACAACAACAACAGCAGUUCGCUAAGCUUUGGCGCAUUUCAAUGAUCCACGGCGAUGGGCGUCAGCGGCCACCGGGUCGAGGCGUUCUAAGAAGGGGUGAUUCCCGUGGGUGACGUAUUAUUUCCAUUCCCUCCCCGUUUUUUUUUGUGGAAAUUCUUAAGUUAACAACAACAACAGCAGGAUUAGAUUGAUUCCGAUAUUACGACUGCCGCUGGCCUAUAUAUAAUGCGCAGAUUUAGGUUUUGGCACAGUGAUGCACAGUGGGCAGAAACUGAUGAAAUCACUUGAAUGUCGACUAAACAACGUUGUAAUUGCGUUGUAAUAGUGCGCAAUGUUUACAACUUUCCGCUGAUCAAUGUCUGGUUUUGCUCGUUUGCCAUGACAAACGCGCAUAAUGGCAUUUGGCAAAUCUUUCAUGAGAAUCUUGCUGACAUUGGCGCAUAACGUAGGUCAAAAUUAAUUUUCUUUCAUUGUGAAGUGUGCCAAAAUGUGUUUAACUUGAUUUUGAACUAUUGUUUUAGAAUGAUUUUAUACUUUUAUUAUUUUCCAUUGUAGGGGAGACUGGGGAGACUUGAUCCCUUUUUCUUAAUUUACCUGAAACUUUAAGAAAAACCACAAAACUAGAUCCGAUUUCCGUACAAAAUGGCAGGUUAACAUCUAUUACAAAUUAAUACACAACAGAAGACCUUUAAAUUAUUGUUAAAGUUUUCAAAACUAUGUUUUUAUGGAGGCAUGUCUUAUGAUGUAUUUUUCAAAAAUGGGUGACACUUGAUCCCCCUUUGAGCACAUGGUUUAUUUAAAGGGAAAAUAAUUCCAGAGUCUUCCUAUUCAUUUUCUUUUCGAGUUUUCUUGUAUUUUCGAUGAAUAUGGAGUGUUUGAAAUUGUAAGAUUUCCUUAAAUUUUUAAGGAUAUGGUUAAUGGAAAUGGGGAGACUUGAUCCCCCUUUUCUUGGUUUGUACUAAAGUUAUAAUUAUCUGACACAUUUUAUCGUUGAAUAGACUAGAAUUCCAAGUAAAUAGAAGCUUCCGAGUAGAAUUUUAUUUUUCACAUGUAUAAUGUGUGUGUAAUCCUCGAGGGAUCAAGUCUCCCCAUGUCACUGUUGUGUAUACUAAGCUGAAUUAAUUAAAAUAUGUUAACAACAGCCUUAUUUGGAUAAAUAAUUUUGAAAGUAUUUUAUUUAAACUAUGUGCUGUGAAAUUUAGACACGAUUUGGUUCAAUUUUCACAAAGUUAUUGAGAUUUUUCAGAAUCGCCCAGAAGAUUUCUGAAGGACUGAAAACAAACCAUCAGCCGUUAAAAAAUAAUGCAAUGUACAAUCGAAAUCACUUGUAGCCAAAACAUAGUCGUUUGUCCAAGAGUAGUUUUGGAAAAAAUAUGCUAGAAGAAAAAUGUUUUUGAUUCCGAGCAAAUAUGGGGGGAACAAGUCUCCCCAGGGAUCAAGUCUCCUCAGUCUCCCCUAAUGUGACGAUUAUGCGUCUACUUUUUAGAGUAUGUUGCAUUUUUUAUGUUUUCAGUAACUAAUUUUACUUGAUUUAUCACCUGUUUUUACUAUUGAUUAAGCUAGUGAAGCAAACAGGAAUAAAAGCUACUAAACUGCUAUCAGGAGUUUAUCAGUUUUCGACCACAGUGCCAUUGAUCCAUGAUGGCAAACAAAGAAAGUUUUCCAUAUAUUUUUCCUUUUUGUAAAUAGUUGUUAGUUCCCACAAGUGGAUCCGGGAACAUGUAUGAACAUGUUAACGCCAGUAAUGUUAACAAAACAAUAUUAGCGAAAUUAGUGAUUGUGACAUUUGAAGCAAGCAUGCAAUGCAGUAUUCAGAAUGCUUUUGAUCCCCCACACCUAUUCAAAUCGAAACGAAGUGUGUUGUAUAAUCUUGUAAGUACGUUGAUGGUGGAAACUCUAUUCCUAUCGAAAACUAUAUAACAAGUGAUCACAAACAAACCAUUGGUAGUAUUUAACUCAUUCCUCUUCAAAGCCUUUGGCACAAGGAUCGUCUCAACAACACAAAAGAGAAACCAACAAAGAAGGGUCAUGUUCGCUGCUAUGUCAAAACAUGUACAUGUGCGAAAGGAAUUAUAGAGUACCUCUACAAGAGUUCUUGCAUGAAAAUUCUAGGAAAAGUUUGGAAAUUACCAAUUAGCAAAUACCUACACAAAAGCUAAGAAAAAAUCCUUUGUUGAAUGCGUGAAAUGUGAUAGUUUAAUAGACUUUCUUACUUCUAAAUUCAAACUAGGGUUUUCACUUUUCUUAUUUUGAACCAUCCAUAAAGUACGUCACGUUUAGAGAAGGUACGAAUUCUUAAGCAAUCCCGGAAGACGGGAAACCCCGUACGAAGAAUUUAUCAGUCCAGCGUGAAGUACUUAACGGAUGUUCCUCUUCAGUUUUUGUUCUCCCGCCUGAUUGCAAACAACACUAAUUUGAGAAAUAAUCAGAAAAAAAACGGGAGAUUAUUAGCGUUUAUCCGCGUUUUGAGGUGUUAAAUUUUGUACGAUUCAAAAGUGUUACAUUGACGGGUUAAAAAUCAAACUAAGUAAGAGUGAUUGUGUCGUUUCUGUGGAAAAAAAAAUCUAGCAAACUUUGAACACUUAAGGGUCAUAAGAAGUUAGCAAUGAUGGUGAACUGUAAAGCGUGUGCCCUAAUGGAAGAUUUGUUGAACAGAAAACACGAGAAAUCGAGAAUAACAAAAUGUGCACAGAACGCAAUAAUAAGCCUAAAACUAUAUUUGUAACAAACAAUAGAACAUGAACAAACACAGGGUACUUUGGAAACCGGUGAAACAACCACAGCAAGUUAUCUACCAGCAUUUAUGUGUCACUUAAAAAUGCCGAUAUAGCUGAAUAGUGUAUGCAUUCAGAGGUGUAGUAGUACCAAAAGGAGAAGUUGAUUUGCGUGUAACUUGGUAGGCGUUGCAUUAUCAUUCAUCUUCCCAUCUUUUGUCUCUCUGAGAUAUUUCCCAACAAACAUUUUUGAUGUACAAGAGUGGAACAAACUGCUCGCAAGCCACCUUCAGCUUAAAACUGUUAUUCAGCUAGUUCUGUUACUUAGGUUACUAGAUAUCUGUUCGAUUAUAUAUUUUAAUCACUGACUUGACUUUAACCUUGGCACAAAUCCCCAAACGGAGGAUAACCUGCCUCUGGAGCUGACCUACUGAAUAAUCUGAUGCUAUUCAACAUUCAAGAUCCAGAAUAGCGACUUUGGAAAAUAAUGGCUAUCAUCAUGAUGUAACUUGUGCACAUCUGGUAUUGUAAGACCCAGCAUCCCAUGAUUUACUUUACGUUUGCUUUACUAAUAGCAGUGCCUAUGUCGAUCUGGGUGCCGACAUCGGUCGCCAUUUGACUACCUACAUAUUGGGAACUUUAAACAUUCUGUUUUGUUUGCCCAGCUAUCGUAAAACUGGAAGGUUUCACCGUGUUUACAUCCAACGAUUCGAUUGUUGACGUCAUUGAACUAACUCUGCAUAUCAGAGCACCGUUGAGUCCAUCGUGCGUUGUGCAGUUCUCUGUACGAAAAUGCCUCGUACUGUGUUUCAAUAAGGCCGACGAUUUUCUCAGGGACACCCUUGCGCCUGAGGGCUCCUCCCCACAUAUCUGCGUGAUUGAGACGGUCGGAAGCAUUUUCGUAAUCAAUGAAGACCAUGUAGAAAGAUUCUUGGAAUUCAUUAAUUUGCUCCUAGAUGAUACCGAGCGUGACAAUAUGGUCCACACAUGAUCGUGCGGUACGGAAUCCUGCUUGCUGCCGGAGAGUUGUGUCAAUCGCAUACAGUCAGAUCACCCUUUUUGGAUAUCUUUACUAAGACGGACGCCUUGCACCCAGUCGUCCGAAAAUGUCGCGAUUUUCCAUAUACUGUAGAAUAAUUGAUGCAGCAGUUGUGUGGCUACUAAGGGGUCGCAUAUCGGCUGAUAUGCGAUCGAGCUCUGGCUCUGUUCGAGUUCAUCUUGAAAGUGCUCGAAACAGCUUUUCAACUGGUCAGCCGGGUCGAUCAAUAACCGUUCAGACAUGUCGAGUUUAUGGACAUCUUCGUCGUGCUGAGACUGGCUUGGCGACGUUCACGCGGACGAAGUGCAUCUGAUUCGUCAACCAGAGAAGUUCCAGGCUAGCCUCAAAUAGUACCAAGUACUCCGCUUCCGCUGAAGACAAGCUAACACACUGCUGUUUUCUUGCAGCCCAGCUGAUGGAUCAUCUCCGAGUUUGAAUAUGAACCCAGAGUUGGAUUUACGGUCAACCUUGCCGACGAAAUCUUCUAGCUUACCGGUUCCACCGAGCUCAAGCUUCAAAUUCGCUUCGAUCAAGUUGGCUUCAGAGGGUUGACUGACCUUGCGCCCCAAGAUGGACGCCGCCAUCGCAAAAUCGGGUCGGAUGCAUACCGCAACGUACAGCAAACCGCCAAUCAGGCUUUAGUAGCACUCGCCGUUUGGCAUUGCUUCCUCUUCCUAUUGCUGCACAUUUGGAUAUUCAGGGUCAUCUUGCCUGUAUUCCGAAUAUACUUGAAUGCCUUCGACAGGUAAUCCACUCCUUCUGUUGUCCAGACUUGUCCCGAACAUAUCGUCGAUGUUCAGAAAAAUGAACGACGUUACUAUAUCGACGUUCCGGAUGUAGAGACACGGGUUUGCUUCGGAUGGUUCAUAUCCAAGCCGCUUCAGUUUCUCAUCUGGUUCCAGAUGCGUCCCGUUUGCUUGAGCCCGUAGAGGCUACGCUUCAACAGGCAUACCUCCUCCUGAGACCCGGUGUGAUAGCUCUGGGGUUGUUUUCUCGACUUUUUGGGCAUCUGCAGGGCUGUUACAGCUGACGCGGAUUUUGCGUUUUUCGCGGUUUUUGCGUUUCGCGCGGAUUUGGCGCGUUUUUGAAAAUUUCGGCGCGGCUUUUGCGGAAAUGGUUUUCAAAUGCACUUAUUUCAAAUAUGUAGACAUGUAGCACAACACAAUCAGGAUAAAUAAAGAACAUUUCCAUAUUGGAGUUAUGAAUUUUGUGAUUGAGUAAAAAUAAUGUUACUAGUCGCUAGCUUGGAGUGCUAAAUAAGUUGCACUGCACUAAACGUUCAAUUUUUGAAAACAGAGAAGUUCCUCUUCUGAAUUUCGUAGUCAACUUCUUGAAGUCAUUUCUGUCUUAACCCGGCUAAAUUCUUGGAUAGAAUUUUUUGUACGGAACUUAUUUAGUAAUGUCUGAGGUUCGAAAAACACUGAAUCAUGGUAAGAUUUCUGCAUGAAUUCUUAGAGUUUCUAGGUAAUUCUGAAAUCUGUUUUUUAUGGAAUUAGCUAAUUUUGGAUAAACUUUCUCACUGGAUAAACUUUUGAUUGAAUUAGAAGAAUCUCGUAUAGAAAAUCAUUGGUUUUGUAGUUGACUCUGUUGCUUGUAGAUCUUUUGUCGAAUCGAUUUUUGUUAAAAACUCUGGUAGAAUUAUCCUACAAAUAAACUUCUGUUGUCACGGUAAAAUUUAUCUUUGAUUUUCAAUCGGAGCAUUCGUUGAGAGGGGAGUAGCAAGCACAGUUAAUAAAGGGUUUCUUGGUAGAAUUGUGGAGGAUUUUUUUUAUAUGAAAUUAUGAAGCUUUUGGAAUCCUAUGCAAGAUAUUCUUGCUGAAAUAUUUACUGAAUUUCCAAGGUCGUGGUAUGGGCAGAAACUCUUAUCUUAAUUUUCUAAUAAACAAUACUUUUCUGCAUACCUUUUGCUCAAAGAUGAGAACAUUUGCCUGACGUUUUUUAUGAAAUGUUUCUAAUAAAUAUCACCUUUAGAUUUCAUUCCUUUUGGUAUUGGUGAUUUAUUUAAUCAAUGGAUAACGCUAGAAUCAAUUACUCAAUUUGUAUCUUCACAAAAAAUCUGAAAAUUUUCUUGCAGUUCUCUCAAACGAUCUUCUGAGACUUACUGCAGAUUUUAUAGCAGGAUUGUUAUGUUGUUAUUAUAAUGUUGGUUAUAAUUAUUUCAAAAAAUUUCCAUUUAUGUAACUGUUUCAGGGAACAGGAAAUCCUAUUCUCGUAAAAUAGUAGUCACCCUGAUUGGCCAACAAUCAUAGAACUAUUUAUUCGAAACUUUUUAUUACAAUUUAAAAAAAAAUUACCUGUUUGCAACAUUUCUUGGUUGAUGUAGAAGUUGCAUGGAUUAAUCAUAGUUAAAAUCGGUUUUAACAUUAGAAAUGAUCUUCAUCAGGAGUGCAACAAAAAACAUGCUCGAAAAAUUGAAAAAUUUAGGCUUUUUAUGAGCUUGAGUCAUCAAAAUCAUAUGUUUUUGUACUGGCGCGGAUUUCAAAUGGCUUGACGCGGAUUUUGCGGUUUCCAAAUCAAUAGUUUUGUAACAGCCCUGCAUCUGUCAGACGGUAUACAAUUAUAAAAUGUUCAUUGGCAGAGAAAGCUCAACUGUGGAAAUGCUCAUAGAAAACUAUGCUGAGAAGCACGCUCUGUCUCAGUUGGAACGUUACGCUAAGAUUUGAUUUAAUUUAGAAUUUUCAGCCUUAUGCAGUUUCAUAAUUUCAGCCUUUCGUGGAUUCAACCUUUCGUGUGUUCAACCUUUUGUGAUUCAACCUAAUGUUUGCAUCGCCACGUAGGCCUACGAUCCGAAAAAUUGCAGAUGAUUGACGAACUGGGUUCUGGGAUGUCGUCCACAAUCUGUGAACUUGAAUACGAAAACAUCGCAACCAUGACGCCGCUGCUGGUCCUCCUCCCUUGGUGCUUUGGUUCGUUCUUCCGAGUUUCCUCUUAGUCCUGCGCCACGGGCUGUUCAUAAACCACGUAGAUCAAAAUUUGAUAAUCUCAGACAAAUUCCACCACCCCUACCCCUCGUAGACUUUUGUCCAUACAAACAUUUUGAAAUUUGUAUGGAGCGUAGACUUUGGCCAGACUCCCCUCCCCCCCAAAAAGUCUACGUGGUUUAUGAACAGCCCCCCAGCAAACGGCAGUCCCUUUGCUUGUGUCUCCGAAAGCAGUUCGAAGAUAGCUUGCAUUUUCGUGAUGUGCUUGUCGAUUUUCUCGCCAUCAGUGUAACGCAUAUCGCACAGCUUCUUGAGGCUCGAAGUUCCUUCUGAGGCUCUCCCAGGCUUCCCUCGACAUGGUGGUGUCUUGAAACAGCUUCCGUUGGUUUGUUGAAGGUCCCAUCCAAGAGAUAUCAGUCAGUGCCUGGGAUGGGAAACCCAACAAACAUUUUUGCUGUAGAAGAGUGGAACAAACCACUCUUAAGCAAACUUUAGAAACUAUUAUUCAGCUAGUUCUGUUUCUUGGGAAAGAAAACCUCGCCUGUUCUGUUUUGUUAUUCCAACAGGUUUUGGGCCUAGGAACGCUCUGGUGGUGGUUCGGGAAGCGAGGAGACCAAGAUGUGGUAUCCAAGAUAGGAUGAGGAGGCCAAUACCCAAUGAGGUGUCAAGAUGCGAUGAGGCCGAGUGCCAAUAUUCGUUGAGAUACCGAGAGGAGUGAUAACCGUGUGGGACCUACGCUGAAAGCAAGAGGCAGAGGGUGCUGACUGAUUGAUAGACGCUGGAGCUGUUUGGCCCGGGGUGGAAGACGCAUUGAACCAGGAUGAGCUUGGUAGCCACUUUAGUAGCAGAAGUAGCUUUGAACCAGGAGCUUGUAAGCAGAAUUAAGCUGGAACCAGGAGCAGUUUGUCGUUCCCUAGGUUUGAACAGCACCUCUUUGGUGAACAGACGCUCGGGACGUACCUCCUCGAUCUAACUGAAGUCAGAAGAAAAACAGUGCCCAAGCUGCACUACCAGCUAAACUCUCGGCUGGCGGUCUUUGUUAUUGAUUGACCCGUGGAAGCAUGAGAUAGAAACUCGUGAGGACCAGAGUUAUGUAGAGCGCUCCUUGCCGACUCACCAUUUUGCAGCCCAAAAAAUUGGUUCCAACUCGUAAAAACACUCAUCGCUAAGAGACCCAAUGUCAAAUGUAGACUCUACUUAGAUUUCCAAGAAUAGGCAACGAGUCAUUGAAAAUAUGAUCAAAAGAUGAUAGUUACGCUCAUUCAGCGAAUGGAGUGUCACAAAAGUCGAAGUCGUAUACCGAGGUGAGAAAUCUCGACUCGAAUGUAGUGACUCAUCGAAUGGAGAGUCACCUCAUUCGAGUCGAGAUUCCUCACCUCGAUAUACGACUCUGACUUUUGUCACGUCACUCCAAUCGCAGAAUGAGCACAAGUAGAGCAGGUUGUUUGAAGGCGUCGAAGAAAGACGAAAAUAUCAGCAAUUUGCAUUUGUUGCACAAAAAGUGGUACUAGGUUACUGCCGUGUGCAGCAUAGUUGUCUCAUGUUCUAUGGGAAUCUCUAUCAAUAUGAGACAACUAUGCUGCACACAGCAGGGUACUUGUCGGAACUUUUGCUAUUUUUUUAAUAGUUUAUUCAUUUUGUUUAUGAAAACAAAGGCUGAAAAAGUUUGCCAGACAUGUUUUUACACAUUCUGUAUAGAAAUUCUCCGAGAUCUACUUCAGCUUGUUUUCCAGAUCACUAAUAUAACACUUCAGGAAAAACUCCGAAAACCCUCUCCAUAUAUGAAUGGCCGAAAUCUUGAAGUCUGUCAUUCUUGGGCAGACUCUGUCUAAUAAAUCGAAGUUGACGAAUCAAUCAAAACUAGCCUUUUGUGUAAAGCUGUACAUAUAGAAUAUCAUAUAUUUCAUUGAAUGAAUCGCCCAUGCAAGUCAUACUGCGCGUGUAAUCCGAUGUCACGUGCGUUGGUAUAAAUUCUAGUACUACACUAUGGCGCGCAUUCUACUACUUAUAAAUAGUUGACGGUGGUGGUGACUAUAGAUAAGCCUGCAAGAACGAGUUCUCGUGCAGCAGUUGAAUAAACGCAUUGUGAAAUUUACUUUAAUUAGUCAAACAAAUUUUUCUAAACAGUAUAUGUUAUCUAUAUUUUACAUUAAACGUCCUAUCAACGAUGUGCAACGCGAAUAAAUGCGGAAACUGUUGAAGCCUUCUUUAGUGUAGUUUGAUAUCAGCUUAACGUUUCUCAUUCAUUGCGGAGCACAUUGUUCACCACCCUAGAGCUUCCUAACCUAGUUUUUUUUUACAUUUUGUUAGUUAUCUAUUCGUUUUGUAUCUAUUUUACUCAAUUCUGUUAUAUUUACAUAGUUUAAUAACCACAUUUCCAUUAGUACUAGCAUGAUUAUGCCUUCCGGAUUGCAUUCAUACAACGCACCUUGUUACAAAUGGACCGAAAGCAAAAACGCAACGUUUUAAACAUAUCGAGACGCACCUAUUACAACUACUGCUAUUUUUUAAAUAUAUUAUGUACCUUCAACAGAGCAUUCGUUCGCUUUUCCCGGUAAUUUUGUUUCACACAAAACUAUUUUUGUCUAUAGGGAAAAAACAAUCCUGGCAAAGCUUCUCCUUUCGCCUCGAUGUAUGCUAAGAUAUUAGAGAAAUGAAAAACAAUGUUUAGGCUUAAAAUUUGCAAUCUAAUUUUUGUCAUUAACGCAUAUUAUAUUGUAAAUGUUCACUGCUGUUGACAAACAUACACAUACAUAGUACACACCUACUUACACAUUUGCAAUAUAAGAAAAUUACUAAAUCAUUAGCAUGCGCAAUUACCUUAGGUACCGAUGCCCUUUGAUCCCCGUUUUGCGAUGUUAUGUUUACAGUGCAGUAGUUGAAUGAUUGUUUCCAAUUUUUUACGAUAAAUUUAUGUGGGUGUUAUGAGAGAAAAGUCCUAUUUAUUUCAGCGUUCUUUCCUAUAUUCCAUACAACAAAAAACACGGUUGGAAUAAAUCAUCAGGUGGACCUGUCCGCGCAGAAAAACACGAAUCAAUCAAAGUAGGAACACGACAGAGUGACAGGCACACAACCCUUUUUGGGAAGUUUUAGCGCGAAAGUGUAAAUUAGAUUUUCUAACAUGAGAAAAAAAGGGCACACCGUGGAACAUGAGUGAAGCAAAACUUGAUAUAUUUGUUGACGAAUAAAACUGAACGAAUAACUAAAUGUG